UUUCGGCGGUCGGACAUGGUGAGAGCGACAUCGCUUUGGGCACACAGCAGAAGGACGUCACCAUCAAGUCAGAUGCGCCUGACACCCUGCUGCUCGAGAAGCAUGCUGAUUAUAUCGCCUCGUACGGCUCAAAGAAAGAUGAUUAUGAAUACUGCAUGUCCGAAUACUUGAGAAUGAGCGGCGUCUACUGGGGCCUGACAGUGAUGGACCUCAUGGGGCAGCUUCAUCGGAUGAAUAAAGAGGAGAUACUGGUGUUUAUCAAGUCGUGCCAGCAUGAGUUGUGGGGGAGUCAGUGCCAGCAUCGGGCACGACCCCCACCUUCUCUACACGCUCAGUGCUGUCCAGAUUCUCACUCUGUAUGAUAGCAUCCAUGUAAUCAACGUAGACAAAGUGGUAGCCUAUGUUCAGAGUCUACAGAAAGAAGAUGGUUCCUUUGCUGGAGACAUCUGGGGAGAAAUCGAUACAAGAUUCUCAUUUUGUGCAGUGGCAACUUUGGCUCUCUUGGGCAAACUUGAUGCUAUUAAUGUGGAAAAGGCCAUUGAAUUUGUUUUGUCCUGUAUGAACUUUGAUGGUGGAUUUGGGUGCAGACCAGGCUCUGAAUCUCACGCCGGACAGUUACCAGAUGUGUGCUAUUCCUGGUGGGUGUUGGCCUCCUUAAAGAUAAUCGGGAGACUUCAUUGGAUUGACAGAGAAAAGCUUCGAAGCUUCAUCUUGGCAUGUCAAGAUGAAGAGACAGGAGGGUUUGCAGACAGGCCAGGAGACAUGGUGGAUCCCUUUCACACCUUGUUUGGCAUUGCUGGAUUGUCACUUCUGGGGGAAGAGCAGAUCAAGCCUGUCAGCCCUGUCUUUUGCAUGCCUGAAGACGUGCUGCAGAGGGUGAAUGUCCAGCCUGAACUAGUGAGCUAGUCCGAGGGGAAGAGCCUUCGGUGUGCAGUAUCAGUUACUGUGGUUAUCAAACCCAGAAGUGACUUAAUAUUUUGUAUAUCAUAUGUCAAUGAUAAAAUUAUAUAAGUAUUGUAAAAUAAAUGUCGUAUUUAGAUCUUUAGUGUUCUGAGUACAGUUUCUGUCAAUACUGUUUGUUAAUGUCUAACAGCAACAAACUUAAAAAGCUAGUAUUUAACUGCCACCUCCCUGUGUCCUUUUGACCUGUAACAAUGACGGGAAAUGAUUUCUGUUAAUAAAGAUGAUCAAAGUGAGUGAAACUCAUGAUUUAAAUAAAAGAUGCAUAAAAUUG
rnacentral:lncRNA from 1 species